rnacentral:ncRNA from 1 species
UAAAAAGUAAUGAUGAGGAUUAGAGUUAUUUCUACGAUUUACAGAGAGAGAAGCCUUGGCUGGGAGCUUCUUAAUACGAGAAAUGGACUUACUACCUCUGAACUUCAGCGGGGUUAAUCUGCUGACGGUGACCAUAACCGUUAUCUUUAACGAAGCUAUACAGGUUAGCUGUCUGUAUAGAAAUUUAGGGUGGAACCACGGGUAUAAACACUCGUCCCUUUU